rnacentral:rRNA from 1 species
UGCAGUCGAACGGAAAGGCCCAGCUUGCUGGGUGCUCGAGUGGCGAACGGGUGAGUAACACGUGGGUGAUCUGCCUCUAACUUCGGGAUAAGCUUGGGAAACUGGGUCUAAUACCGGAUAGGACAAUCGUUUAGUGUCGGUUGUGGAAAGUUUUUUCGGUUAGGGAUGAGCCCGCGGCCUAUCAGCUUGUUGGUGGGGUAAUGGCCUACCAAGGCGUCGACGGGUAGCCGGCCUGAGAGGGUGGACGGCCACAUUGGGACUGAGAUACGGCCCAGACUCCUACGGGAGGCAGCAGUGGGGAAUAUUGCACAAUGGGCGCAAGCCUGAUGCAGCGACGCCGCGUGGGGGAUGACGGCCUUCGGGUUGUAAACCUCUUUCGACAGGGACGAAGCUUUGGUGACGGUACCUGUAUAAGAAGCACCGGCUAACUACGUGCCAGCAGCCGCGGUAAUACGUAGGGUGCGAGCGUUGUCCGGAAUUACUGGGCGUAAAGAGCUCGUAGGUGGUUUGUCGCGUCGUCUGUGAAAUUCCGGGGCCUAACUUCGGGCGUGCAGGCGAUACGGGCAUAACUUGAGUGCUGUAGGGGAGACUGGAAUUCCUGGUGUAGCGGUGGAAUGCGCAGAUAUCAGGAGGAACACCGAUGGCGAAGGCAGGUCUCUGGGCAGUAACUGACGCUGAGGAGCGAAAGCAUGGGGAGCGAAUAGGAUUAGAUACCCUGGUAGUCCAUGCCGUAAACGGUGGGCGCUAGGUGUAGGGGUCUUCCACGACUUCUGUGCCGUAGCUAACGCAUUAAGCGCCCCGCCUGGGGAGUACGGCCGCAAGGCUAAAACUCAAAGGAAUUGACGGGGGCCCGCACAAGCGGCGGAGCAUGUGGAUUAAUUCGAUGCAACGCGAAGAACCUUACCUGGGCUUGACAUAUACAGGACUGGGCCAGAGAUGGUCUUUCCCUUUGUG